rnacentral:tRNA from 1 species
UGGGAUGUGGCUCAGUGGUAGAACACAUGCCUAGCAUGCUUGAGGCCCUGGAUUCUAUCCCCAGCACCCCCU